rnacentral:snRNA from 1 species
GGAUCUGAGGGUGAUCUGGCUGCAACAUCUGUCACUCCAUUGAUUGUCAUGGUUGAUUUGGAUGAACUGGUUGCUAGGCAGGUGUCCCCUUCCUCCCUCACCAUGCCUCAUGCAUCCCUCAUGCAUCCCUGGUGCUGUGCUCUCAGUGGAAAAGGCUGACCGUCCGGGAUAAGAGGAGUGCACUCUGUUCCUCAGCCAAGGGCAUAUGAUAGCUGCGCUUCUCUGCUAGAACCUCCAAAAAACUCGAGAUAGUGCAAAACUGUAUUAUUAUUUUUGUUUUCCCUGUAGUGAAGAUGUUGCCUGACCAUCAUCCUCGUCU